rnacentral:rRNA from 1 species
GUCGCGUGCAGGAUGACUGCCCUAUGGGUUGUAAACUGCUUUUGUACGGGAAGAAAAAUACUUACGUGUAAGUAUUUGCCGGUACCGUACGAAUAAGCAUCGGCUAACUCCGUGCCAGCAGCCGCGGUAAUACGGAGGAUGCGAGCGUUAUCCGGAUUUAUUGGGUUUAAAGGGUGCGUAGGCGGAAUGGUAAGUCAGUGGUGAAAUCCUGCAGCUCAACUGUAGUUGUGCCAUUGAUACUGUCAUUCUUGAGUACAGAUGAGGUAGGCGGAAUGAGUAGUGUAGCGGUGAAAUGCAUAGAUAUUACUCAGAACACCAAUUGCGAAGGCAGCUUACUAAACUG